CCUUCCUACGGGAGGCAGCAGUGGGGAAUAUUGCACAAUGGGGGAAACCCUGAUGCAGCGACGCCGCGUGAGUGAAGAAGUAUUUCGGUAUGUAAAGCUCUAUCAGCAGGGAAGAAAAUGACGGUACCUGACUAAGAAGCCCCGGCUAACUACGUGCCAGCAGCCGCGGUAAUACGUAGGGGGCAAGCGUUAUCCGGAUUUACUGGGUGUAAAGGGUGCGUAGGUGGCAGGGCAAGUCAGAUGUGAAAGCCCGGGGCUCAACCCCGGUACUGCAUUUGAAACUGUCCAGCUGGAGUGCGGGAGAG
rnacentral:rRNA from 1 species